AAACACAACAAAGACCAUUAUUCAUGGUUCUGGCACGUGAAUCGCGGCUUUCCAAGCACUCCUAUCCAAGGACAAAUCUCUAGGAUACCACUAUGCACUGGUGCCUCUGGCGGUCUCCGUUGGACAUGUCCAAACCAUCUCAGCCGGUGUUGGAUAAGCUUUUCUUCAAUUGGUGCUAUCCCUAGCCUAUCCCGUAUAUCAUCAUUUCGAACUUGAUCCAUCCUUGUAUGCCCACAAAUCCAACGCAACAUGCGCAUUUCUGCAACACUUAAUUGUUGGACGUGCCGCCUUUUUGUAGGCCAACAUUCCGCACCAUACAACAUUGCCGGUCUAAUCGCCGUUCUAUAAAACUUGCCUUUUAACUUCUAAGGUACCUUCCUGUCACAAAGGACGCCAGAGGCUUGGCGCCACUUCAUCCAUCCCGCUUUGAUUCUAUGACUAACAUCCUCAUCAAUAUCUCCAUCUCUCUGUAGCAUCGAUCCCAAAUAUCGAAAGGUAUCCCUCUUGGGCACUACUUGGCCUUCCAAACUAACAUCUCCCUCCUCAUGAG